rnacentral:rRNA from 1 species
GUGCCAGCAGCCGCGGUAAUACGUAGGGGGCAAGCGUUGUCCGGAAUUAUUGGGCGUAAAGCGCGCGCAGGCGGUCAUUUAAGUCGGGUGUAUAAACUUGGGGCUCAACCUCGAGAGGCACCUGAAACUGGGUGACUGGAGUGCAGAAGAGGAGAGUGGAAUUCCACGUGUAGCGGUGAAAUGCGUAGAGAUGUGGAGGAACACCAGUGGCGAAGGCGACUCUCUGGUCUGUAACUGACGCUGAGGCGCGAAAGCGUGGGGAGCAAACAGGAUUAGAUACCCUGGUAGUCC